CCCCUCUCAGGGUCACACCUGGAGAGUUUCCAAUACUCUAUCAGUCUUGACUACAGGAGGGAGAGUCAAACAGAGGCAUACCCACUCCAUUCUUAGCUUGGGUAGUGGCUAGAGAGUGGAAGACAAUCUGCUACAAAU